rnacentral:rRNA from 1 species
AUUGAACGCUGGCGGCAGGCCUAACACAUGCAAGUCGAACGAGUGGCGGACGGGUGAGUAAUGUCUGGGAAACUGCCCGAUGGAGGGGGAUCACUACUGGAAACGGUAGCUAAUACCGCAUACCAUCGGAUGUGCCCCGAUGGGAUUAGCUCGUAGGUGGGGUAACGGCUCACCUAGGCGACGAUCCCUAGCUGGUCUGAGAGAAUGACCAGCAAAACUGGAACGGGGACACGGUCCAGACUCCUACGGGAGGCAGAAGUGGGGAAUAUUGCACAAUGGGCGAAAGCCUGCUGCAGCCAUGCCGCGUGUGUGAAGAAGGCCUUCGGGUUGUAAAGCACUUUCAGCGGGGAGGCGUUACCCGCAGAGAAAGCACCGGCUAACUCCGUGCCAGCAGCCGCGGUAAUUC